rnacentral:antisense_RNA from 1 species
UGUGGGAGCUGGCUUGCCUGCGAUGCGGGCACCCCGGUGCAUCAGGCACACCGGGUUGAUGCUUUCGCAGGCAAGCCAGCUCCCACA